rnacentral:lncRNA from 1 species
ACGUCCCUUGGCUCGAACGCUACUUCUCCCGCCGCCAGGCAGCUACAACCGCGCGCUCAACGCUCGUUAGAGCCCAAGCGCGGCCUCGCGAGACCAGCCCCGCCUCCUCACUCCCCCGCCCCUUCGCUUCCCUUGUCGCCCGCUUCCCGGGCGGGAGCCGGCCCAGCCACGUGGUUGCCAGCCCCGCCCACUCAUCCCCCCUUGCGCGCGUUUGCGCAUGCGCCCUGGGGCGGGCCCAGGCAGGGCGCUUUGCCUAACUCUGAGAAGCGACAGCCGCCGUGACUGGCCUCACGCGCUCCCUCUCUCACACGUCUUUAGACAUCCUUUUACGCUCGUCUCUUCCACAAAGCCUCAUCACUGCACACCAUUCCCCCCCGCAAAAAAAGUGAAACGAACUUAUCUCUGAAUGGCUUGCACUUUAUACUUCUAACAGGUACUGUUUUUUCCUUGAAGUGAUCUGCCAACAACGCCACGACUCCCCUCACCUCCACCCCUAGUUGAAGCCCUUGUAAGUUUGUAAAUCCUGGGAAAACUUGGAGAAGAAAGGCCUAAGCAUUUAUUUCUUCUCCAGCAGGCAAGGCAAACAGGCAGUUUGGUGACGUAAGCCUGCCUCAAAGGUGUCUUAUUCUUUAACUUGAAAAGUUCCCAGAAAACCAAACUUUCUUCUGGCGCAGUAUAGUUCCAUCGUCUGACAAUUACCCCAUCAUCUUACAGGAGUCUUCUGCACUCUUUAUGCCCCUCCCCCCCGCCCCCGGGGUCCCUUCUUGUCUCCUGCGAGCUCUUGUCAUCUUUCUGAAUCCCGCAAAAGCCAUCCAGCAGUUUCUGUUUCCCCAGACUGUCUGCUCCCUGGGGUCAAAAUCUAUGUGGAUUCCCAAGGCACCUGGCGCAGCUGAGCAUUUGCUAUUGUAUACACUUGAUUUUGUAAAUAGCAUCUAAUGUUCCUGAUAGCCUGUCAUAGUUUAAGGUUGCUGAAUAUUGUACCCCUCCAGACAACCUUUUGAGGCAAAUAGGAAACAAACUCAUCCCUCUCCCCAGUCCCACCCAUUAUAUGCUCUGCUUUUUGUUUCCUGACCUGUUUCCUGUGGGCAAAGGAGGAAGUCACCUCUCUUUUUCUGAGGGUGGCAGAGGGGGUUAUAGGGGAGCAUGUUCUUACCCAUAACGUUGUCUGUCAUUUCUUCACUUUGCAGUGGCCUGUUGAUAGGAGUAGGCGUUCUGGGACGAGGUAGCUCUCGAACCUCCCAUUCAUCUUCUCCUCUGGCCUCCUGUUCCACAUGGAAGGGGACUGGGGCCCGAGGAAUUCGGGGCUGAGUUCCAGGGACUCGGCUCAGACCAAUGCCCCGAGGUCGGCUUCGGUGAUCCAUGCUGACCGUUGGGCAAACAGCCACACAGCCUUAGUGAAUUCUAGGCCUUGAGCUGGCUCUCUUAAUUUAGGAACUGGGAGAGAAAGCUCGGGGAUAGUGUUAUUUCCUGACACCUCUGUUAUGGCCUGAGCUGAGGUGCCCAAGUUGGCAACAAGGGCUGCCCACCAAAGGGGGCCCCAGUGAACCUCCUGCCCACUGGCAAGAGUGGCCAGGUAGGCCAGCUCUGAGCCACAAACUGUGCUCCCCUCACGGAACCCCUGGUA